UACGGAGGGUGCGAGCGUUGUCCGGAAUCACUGGGCGUAAAGGGCGCGUAGGCGGCCUGAUAAGUAGGGGGUGAAAUCCUGCGGCUUAACCGCAGGGCUGCCUUCUAAACUGUCGGGCUCGAGCACGGUAGAGGCAGAUGGAAUUCCCGGUGUAGCGGUGGAAUGCGUAGAGAUCGGGAAGAACAUCAGUGGCGAAGGCGGUCUGCUGGGCCGUUGCUGACGCUGAGGCGCGACAGCGUGGGGAGUCAAACAGG
rnacentral:rRNA from 1 species